ACACUAUUGAGGAGUCUCAUAAUAGGACGAAACAGUCGUCCAGUAU
rfam:Schistosoma mattheei strain Denwood, Zambia genome assembly, scaffold: SMTD_scaffold0005336